rnacentral:rRNA from 1 species
GACGAACGCUGGCGGCGUGCCUAAUACAUGCAAGUAGAACGCUGAAGGAGGAGCUUGCUUCUCUGGAUGAGUUGCGAACGGGUGAGUAACGCGUAGGUAACCUGCCUGGUAGCGGGGGAUAACUAUUGGAAACGAUAGCUAAUACCGCAUAAGAGUAGAUGUUGCAUGACAUUUGCUUAAAAGGUGCAAUUGCAUCACUACCAGAUGGACCUGCGUUGUAUUAGCUAGUUGGUGAGGUAACGGCUCACCAAGGCAACGAUACAUAGCCGACCUGAGAGGGGGAACGGCCACACUGGGACUGGGACACGGCCCAGACUCCUACGGGAGGCAGCAGUAGGGAAUCUUCGGCAAUGGACGGAAGGCUGACCGAGCAACGCCGCGGGAGUGAAGAAGGGUUUCGGAUCGUAAAGCUCUGUUGUAAGGGAAGAACGAGUGUGAGGGUGGAAAGUUCACGCUGUGACGGUAGCUUAACAGAAAGGGACGGCUAACUACGUG